AAAGCGUGCGCAGGCGGUUUUGUAAGACAGGCGUGAAAUCCCCGAGCUCAACUUGGGAAUGGCGCUUGUGACUGCAAGGCUAGAGUAUGUCAGAGGGGGGUAGAAUUCCACGUGUAGCAGUGAAAUGCGUAGAGAUGUGGAGGAAUACCGAUGGCGAAGGCAGCCCCCUGGGACGUCACUGACGCUCAUGCACGAAAGCGUGGGGAGCAAACAGGAUUAGAUACCCCGGU
rnacentral:rRNA from 1 species